rnacentral:rRNA from 1 species
UACGUAGGGUGCGAGCGUUGUCCGGAAUUAUUGGGCGUAAAGCGCGCGCAGGUGGUUUCUUAAGUCUGAUGUGAAAGCCCACGGCUCAACCGUGGAGGGUCAUUGGAAACUGGGGAACUUGAGUGCAGAAGAGGAAAGUGGAAUUCCAAGUGUAGCGGUGAAAUGCGUAGAGAUUUGGAGGAACACCAGUGGCGAAGGCGACUUUCUGGCUUAUAACUGACGCUGAGGCGCGAAAGCGUGGGGAGCAAACAGG